rnacentral:misc_RNA from 1 species
AACAAUUUUACAACCAAUUCACCUAACCUCAAGGGUCGGUGAUGUGGUGCGACCCAGAAAGAAGAGCCAGGAAGGAAAGGUAGCCAAUCGGGAGUAGAUUUCUGCAGCAUCACUCGCUGGAUCAUGUCCUCCAGUUUUUGCAUCAUCAACAUCUCCCCAUCAUCGUCAUCGCCACCACCACCGUCCGAUGACGAAGAGGAAGCAGAGUUAGAGGAGGAUGAUCCUUUCGAUGAUGAUAAUGCAGCGAGAUCGAUUUCAAUUAGUUGGGGCUUGGAGGAGCGGUGUCGAUGUUGGAAGGAGAGAGGGACGAGAGGUGGGUAUUUGAUCGGAA